CACUGAACUGGAAAUCACUGUCUGCGGUUUUAUUAGGUUACAUAUGGAUAUCAUAUAUUAUUACACCAUAGUCAUGGUUACUGUUGCUAUUAUUAAGGUCACAUCUCCUGGCAUGUCGAAUAUGUAAAUAUUUAUGUCUGGAGUUUCUAUGAGUAAAUCUAGAAAUGAAUGAACUUUAUCUAAUUGAGCUUUCUCUGAAUUAUUUAUGAUUUAUGAUUUUUCUCUCAUUUAGUGUCAAAAUCAGUUGCUCUUAUGAUGUUGAUGUAGAGUUUAAUUAAGGGUAAUUUGACCCAGAUUGGAAAUACUACUGACCUUUUUGACAGUAAAAAGCAGUUUGAAGUCAAUACAGUGGUUAGCGUAGUUGUUGUACAUUGUUUUCCAGGGGACAUAGUGGAGCCACAAUCUACCAGCACUUUGUCUUACAUUUUAAUGAUAUGUUUUGACUAAAAUGGUUCAAAAGUAAAUGCGGCUCUUUACAUUGAUUUAUGUUUUUAUUUUGAGACUUUAAUGUUUGUAAAACUGUUUCAAAAUGUACAAAAAUCAGCCAAGUGUAAUUGGGAAAGGUUUAGGCCUCCCUUCAUUUUAUGGCUCUCAUAACAUUGUUUGAUAAAUUCUUGGCAUGCUCGACAAAACAUAAUUUUUUACUUUUGCUUUCUUUCUUUCUUUCUUAACUCAAAUCAAAUCAAAUAUUUUGUAGUCAACUGUAAUUCAGUUCUGAACUCUCUUUGUAUUGAUAUUUGUAUUGAUUCUGGGCUCCAUGUUGCAUUGUGUUCAGUUCCAAUCCAGUCCAGGCAUUUGUCAAAUUUCUCUGUCUUUAUUGAUGAACCUUUACAGACCUGCCGCAGUGUUUUAUUUGUAAACCACUAACACGUCCAUGUAGGUGGCCCCGGUGGAGAGAGGCACCAGUCAGAGGAACAAGUGCUGGACUAAUGUGUAAGGUAGAAAUAUAGAGCUGACAUGUAGGUGGCCCCGGUGGAGAGAGGCACCAGUCAGAGGAACAAGUGCUGGACUAAUGUGUAAGGUAGAAAUAUAGAGCUGACAUGUAGGUGGCCCCGGUGGAGAGAGGCACCAGUCAGAGGAACAAGUGCUGGACUAAUGCGUAAGGCAGAAAUAUAGAGCUAACAGUAGUGAUAACAAGACGGGAAGACAGUAAUGCUGUAGUAAGAACACAUACAGGGCCUAUAGAAACUCUACACCCUCUGGAACUUUUAUCACAUUUUGUUGCAUUAAAGUGGGAUGGAAAUUACAAAUUAAAUUACUAAAAUAUAGUCGUUGCAUAAAUAUUCACCCCUUUGUUUAGGCAAGCCAAAAUUAGUUCAGAAGUCAAAUUCUGCUCAACAAAUCACAAAAUAAGAAAUGGUCCCCAGUCAAGUAUUGAAUUUCAAGCACAGAUUCAACUACAAAGACCAGGGAGAUUUUUAGAAGCCUCAUAAAGAAGGGCAGAUCAAAUCA
ensembl:lncRNA